rnacentral:rRNA from 1 species
ACGCUGGCGGCAGGCCUAACACAUGCAAGUCGAGCGGUAGAGAGAAGCUUGCUUCUCUUGAGAGCGGCGGACGGGUGAGUAAUGCCUAGGAAUCUGCCUGGUAGUGGGGGAUAACGUUCGGAAACGGACGCUAAUACCGCAUACGUCCUACGGGAGAAAGCAGGGGACCUUCGGGCCUUGCGCUAUCAGAUGAGCCUAGGUCGGAUUAGCUAGUUGGUGGGGUAAUGGCUCACCAAGGCGACGAUCCGUAACUGGUCUGAGAGGAUGAUCAGUCACACUGGAACUGAGACACGGUCCAGACUCCUACGGGAGGCAGCAGUGGGGAAUAUUGGACAAUGGGCGAAAGCCUGAUCCAGCCAUGCCGCGUGUGUGAAGAAGGUCUUCGGAUUGUAAAGCACUUUAAGUUGGGAGGAAGGGCAGUAAAUUAAUACUUUGCUGUUUUGACGUUACCGACAGAAUAAGCACCGGCUAACUCUGUGCCAGCAGCCGCGGUAAUACAGAGGGUGCAAGCGUUAACCGGAAUUACUGGGCGUAAAGCGCGCGUAGGUGGUUCGUUAAGUUGGAUGUGAAAUCCCCGGGCUCAACCUGGGAACUGCAUUCAAAACUGACGAGCUAGAGUAUGGCAGAGGGUGGUGGAAUUUCCUGUGUAGCGGUGAAAUGCGUAGAUAUAGGAAGGAACACCAGUGGCGAAGGCGACCACCUGGACUGAUACUGACACUGAGGUGCGAAAGCGUGGGGAGCAAAC